rnacentral:rRNA from 1 species
GUGUCAGCAGCCGCGGUAAGACGUAGGGGGCCAGCGUUGUUCGGAAUUACUGGGUGUAAAGGGUUCGUAGGCGGUGCGGCAAGUUGGGAGUGAAAUCUCUGGGCUUAACCCAGAGGCUGCUUCCGAAACUGCUGUGCUUGAGUGUGGGAGAGGCGCGUGGAAUUGCAGGUGUAGCGGUGAAAUGCGUAGAUAUCUGCAGGAACACCCGUGGCGAAAGCGGCGCGCUGGACCACUACUGACGCUGAGGAACGAAAGCUAGGGGAGCAAACAGGAUUAGAAACCCCCGUAGUCC